rnacentral:piRNA from 1 species
UAUGUAGAUACUACUGGGCUGUAUUGU